rnacentral:rRNA from 1 species
CGGAGGGAAGAUCUAUCGGUGAUGGAUGGGCCCGCGUCAGAGUAAGUAGUUGACGAGGUGAUGGCCACCAAGCCGACAUGAUGUAGCUGGUUUGAGAGGAUGAUCACCCACACUGGGACUGAGACACGGCCCAGACUCUUACGGGAGGCAGCAGUGGGGAAUAUUGGACAAUGGGCGAAAGCCUGAUCCAGCAAUACCGAGUGAGUGAUGAAGGCCUUAGGGUUGUAAAACUCUUUUAGCAAGGAAGAUAAUGACGUUACUUGCAGAAAAAGCCCCGGCUAACUCCGUGCCAGCAGCCGCGGUAAGACGGGGGGGGCUAGCGUUGUUCGGAAUUACUGGGCGUAAAGAGUGCGUAGGCGGUUUAGUAAGUUGGAAGUGAAAGCCCGGGGCUUAACCUCGGAAUUGCUUUCAAAACUACUAAUCUAGAGUGUAGUAGGGGAUGAUGGAAUUCCUAGUGUAGAGGUGACAUUCUUAGAUAUUAGGAGGAACACCGGUGGCGAAGGCGGUCAUCUGGGCUACAACUGACGCUAAUGCACGAAAGCGUGGGGAGCAAACAGGAUUAUAUACCCUGGU